rnacentral:rRNA from 1 species
GACGAACGCUGGCGGCGUGCUUAACACAUGCAAGUCGAACGGUGAAGCGCCUUCCUUUUUGGUGGGUGUGGAUGAGUGGCGAACGGGUGAGUAACACGUGAGUAACCUGCCCCCUUCUUCUGGAUAACCGCAUGAAAGUGUGGCUAAUACGGGAUAUUCUGGGUCUGUCGCAUGAUGGGUCUGGGAAAGAUAUUGUUUCGGUGGGGGAUGGGCUCGCGGCCUAUCAGCUUGUUGGUGGGGUGAUGGCCUACCAAGGCGGUGGAGGGUAGCCGGCCUGAGAGGGUGGACGGUCACACUGGGACUGAGACACGGCCCAGACUCCUACGGGAGGCAGCAGUGGGGAAUAUUGCACAAUGGGCGCAAGCCUGAUGCAGCGACGCCGCGUGAGGGAUGGAGGCCUUCGGGUUGUGAACCUCUUUCGCCAGUGAAGCAGGCCUGCCUCGUUUGUGGGUGGGUUGACGGUAGCUGGAUAAGAAGCGCCGGCUAACUACGUG